rnacentral:rRNA from 1 species
UACGGAGGGUGCAAGCGUUGUCCGGAAUCACUGGGCGUAAAGGGCGCGUAGGCGGCUCAUGAAGGCUGUGGUGAAAGUCCGGGGCUCAACCUCGGAUCGGCCGUGGCGACUCGUGGGCUGGAGCACUGUAGAGGCGGGUGGAAUUCCGGGUGUAGCGGUGGAAUGCGUAGAGAUCCGGAAGAACACCAGUGGCGAAGGCGGCUCUCUGGACCGUAACUGACGCUGAGGCGCGAAAGCGUGGGGAGCAAACAGG